CGGCCACCGGUGGUAAAUGAGAGGAGGGGAAGCUGCAGUCAUUCGUCUCUAUCCAUUCCCCUCUCCCCCCAUUCUCUCUCUAUCACUUUUUACCUCUGUCAAAAUCUGAAGAUCUCUGCAGCAAACGAAGGGAUUGCUGUGCUGCUCAACGUCCAACGAGAGUAUGGGGGACGCUGCUGAUGUUCAGCACACGAGCACUGACACGGAUGAGAAAGGAAGCGACCCUGAAAAUAAAACAGACAACUGAAAUGCAGAAGGCAAAGAGCAGUGUCUUGGAGAUCCAGCAUUAGAAGAGAAAGGAUAUCAUGAAGAAAUCACUGACACGGAAGCAUGAGAGGGUUCGCUUUUUGAAGAAGUUGCUACAAUGGGAAGUUAACCAGCCGUGUCAACAUGUCUAUGUACUCUUGUUGAAACUAGGAAGAGGAGCAUCUGCAAGCUGCUAGUCAACUUUAGUACUAAAAAACAUCUAUAAGUUGCUCUGAUCAAUUCCAUGAACAAUGGACAUCACGGUUCUGUUUAGCUAGCUCUGAACAGCAACUCCCCUCCUCGUAUGUACAUUCAUAAUUUUUUGUAUCGAUAUUGGUUGGGCCUGGCCUCCAACUUUUUUGUUCAAU